rnacentral:rRNA from 1 species
UACAGAGGAUGCAAGCGUUAUCCGGAAUGAUUGGGCGUAAAGGGUGCGUAGGCGGCGCGGUAAGUCGGGUGUGAAAUCUCGGAGCUUAACUUCGAAACUGCAUUCGAUACUGCCGUGCUUGAGGACUGGAGAGGAGACUGGAAUUCCUGGUGUAGCAGUGAAAUGCGUAGAUAUCAGGAGGAAUACCGAUGGCGAAGGCAGGUCUCUGGGCUGACACUGACGCUCAUGCACGAAAGCGUGGGGAGCAAACAGG